UGGAGCCAGCAGUGGGGAAUUUUGGACAAUGGGGGCAACCCUGAUCCAGCGACGCCGCGUGAAGGAUGAAGGUCUUCGGAUUGUAAACUUCUUUUGGAGGGGAUGAAUGCCUGAGUGAAUAACUCAGGGUGACAGUACUCUCGGAAUAAGCCACGGCUAACUACGUGCCAGCAGCCGCGGUAAUACGUAGGUGGCAAGCGAUACUCGGAAUCACUAGGCGUAAAGCGCAGGUAGGCGGUUUGGUAAGUCUUUUGUGAAAGCUCCUGGCUCAACUGGGAGAGGUCAAGGGAAACUACCGGACUAGAGUGUGGUAGGGGAUACUGGAAUUCCUGGUGUAGCGGUGAAAUGCGUAGAUAUCAGGAGGAAUACCUAUGGCGAAAGCAGGUAUCUGGGCCAUCACUGACGCUGAGCUGCGAAAGCUAGGGGAGCAAACAGGAUUAGAUACCCCGGUAGG
rnacentral:rRNA from 1 species